rnacentral:rRNA from 1 species
AGCGAACGCUGGCGGCAGGCCUAACACAUGCAAGUCGAACGAACUCUUCGGAGUUAGUGGCGGACGGGUGAGUAACACGUGGGAACGUGCCUUUAGGUUCGGAAUACCUCAGGGAAACUUGUGCUAAUACCGAAUGUGCCCUUCGGGGGAAAGAUUUAUCGCCUUUAUAGCGGCCUGCGUCUGAGUAGCUAGUUGGUGCGGUAAAGGCUCACCAAGGCGGCGAUCAGCAGCUGGCAUGAGGGGGUGGACGGCCACACUGGGACUGAGACGCGGCCCAGACGACGACGGGAGGCAGCAGGGGGGAAUAGUGCACAAUAGGCGGGAGCCUGAUGCAGCGACGCCGCGGGAGGGAUGGAGGCCUUCGGGGUGUGAAGAUCUUUCGCCAGUGAAGCAGGCCUGCCUCGUGUGUGGGUGGGUUGACGGUAGCUGGAGAAGAAGCGCCGGCUAACUACGUG